rnacentral:rRNA from 1 species
CAGAGGGGGCAAGCGUUGUUCGGAAUUACUGGGCGUAAAGGGCGCGUAGGCGGCCUGCUAAGUCGAACGUGAAAUCCCCGAGCUCAACUCGGGAACUGCGUCCGAUACUGGUUGGCUUGAAUCCGGGAGAGGGAUGCGGAAUUCCAGGUGUAGCGGUGAAAUGCGUAGAUAUCUGGAGGAACACCGGUGGCGAAGGCGGCAUCCUGGACCGGCAUUGACGCUGAGGCGCGAAAGCCAGGGGAGCAAACGGGAUUAGAUACCCCGGUAGUCCUGGCCCUAAACGAUGAAUGCUUGGUGUGGCGGGUAUCGAUCCCUGCCGUGCCGAAGCUAACGCAUUAAGCAUUCCGCCUGGGGAGUACGGUCGCAAGGCUG